GCCCGGGUGGCUCAGUCGGUUAAGCAUCUGACUUUGGCUCAGGUCAUUUCACAGUUCGUGGGUUCGAGCCCCACGUCGGGUU